rnacentral:rRNA from 1 species
CGAGCACGCGCGUGUGGCAUAUCAAUAAGCGGAGGAAAAGAAACUAACUAGGAUUUCCCUUAGUAACUGACGAGUGAAGCGGGAAGAGCUCAAAUUUGAAAUCUUCAAGGUUCUACCUUGACGAAUUGUAGUUUAUAGAAGUGUUUUCUGUUAGUGGAGUGGCAAAAGUUCUUUGGAAUAGGACAUCAUAGAGGGUGAGAAUCCCGUAUUUGGUCAUUCCUCCUAGCGUUGUGAUACACUUUCAACGAGUCGGAUUGUUUGGGAAUGCAGUCCAAAAUGGGUGGUAAAUUUCAUCUAAAGCUAAAUAUUGGCGAGAGACCGAUAGCGAACAAGUACCGUGAGGGAAAGAUGAAAAGAACUUUGAAAAGAGAGUUAAACAGUACGUGAAAUUGUCAAAAGGGAAGCGUUUGACACCAGUGUUGUUUUUCCGAAAAUCAAUUACGAAUGUUUUACUUUUGAGGAGUUAUGACUUCAUCGGCUUGCUCCUUUCUUUAUGAAACUUUCUUAAUGCACUUUUCGGUUAACAAGUCAACAUCAAUUUCUUUUGUUGUAAAAGGGUAUGAGGAAGGUGGCUUUCUUUUCGGAGAAAGUGUUUAUAGCCUUGUGCCUCUGCAAUCGGAGAGAUUGAGGUCUGCAGCGUAGAUCCUUCGGGGUUAGAUACGUUUGUGCUAAGUUAUAGCUUUUCAUAGACAACUUGUUGACUAUGUUUAGUCUUGUAGCUUACUCGCUGACGCUAUUUUACCUACGCUUAGGAUGUUGAGCGCAUGUCUCUCUCU